AUUGAACGCUGGCGGCAUGCUUUACACAUGCAAGUCGAACGGUAACAGGCCUUCGGGUGCUGACGAGUGGCGAACGGGUGAGUAAUGCAUCGGAACAUACCCAGUCGUGGGGGAUAACGUAGCGAAAGUUACGCUAAUACCGCAUACGUCCUGAGGGAGAAAGCGGGGGAUCGCACGACCUAGCGCGAUUGGAGUGGCCGAUGUCAGAUUAGCUAGUUGGUGGGGUAAAGGCCCACCAAGGCGACGAUCUGUAGCGGGUCUGAGAGGAUGAUCCGCCACACUGGGACCGAGACACGGCCCAGACUCCUACGGGAGGCAGCAGUGGGGAAUUUUGGACAAUGGGGGCAACCCUGAUCCAGCCAUGCCGCGUGCGGGAAGAAGGCCUUCGGGUUGUAAACCGCUUUCGGACAGAAAGAAAUCGCAUGGGCUAAUACCCUGUGUGGAUGACGGUACUGUAAGAAGAAGCACCGGCUAACUACGUGCCAGCAGCCGCCGUAAUAC
rnacentral:rRNA from 1 species